rnacentral:lncRNA from 1 species
UCCGAGGGGGUGGUCGUAGACGAGGUAGUGCCCACCCCUAGAGUGGAGGACUCUUCAUCCGUUCGGCGGGAGCGACGAGGCCAAGGAGCACGCCAUCUUGGUGUCCUUGGGCAAGGACUUCCGACAGGUGCACGCGCACUGCGUCACCCGCUCGGAGAAGCUGGAUCGCAGAGAAGCCCUCCUUGCAGCCGCCGAAGAGAGAUUCUGGGUAGUCGACGCUGAAACGCAGUCGUGGUUCA